GCUCCAAUAGCGUAUAUUUAAGUUGUUGCAGUUAAAAAGCUCGUAGUUGGAUUUCGGUUGGAAGCGGCCGGUCCGCCGUUUGGUGUGCACUGGCUGGUUUCAACUUCCUGCCGAGGACGCGCUCCUGGGCUUAACGGUCUGGGACGCGGAGUCGGCGUGGUUACUUUGAAAAAAUUAGAGUGUUCAAAGCGGGCUUACGC
rnacentral:rRNA from 1 species